rnacentral:rRNA from 1 species
ACUUUAAGCGAGGAGGAGGCUACUUUAGUUAAUACCUAGAGAUAGUGGACGUUACUCGCAGAAUAAGCACCGGCUAACUCUGUGCCAGCAGCCGCGGUAAUACAGAGGGUGCAAGCGUUAAUCGGAUUUACUGGGCGUAAAGCGCGCGUAGGCGGCUAAUUAAGUCAAAUGUGAAAUCCCCGAGCUUAACUUGGGAAUUGCAUUCGAUACUGGUUAGCUAGAGUGUGGGAGAGGAUGGUAGAAUUCCAGGUGUAGCGGUGAAAUGCGUAGAGAUCUGGAGGAAUACCGAUGGCGAAGGCAGCCAUCUGGCCUAACACUGACGCUGAGGUGCGAAAGCAUGGGGAGCAAACAGGAUUAGAUACCCUGGUAGUCCAUGCCGUAAACGAUGUCUACUAGCCGUUGGGGCCUUUGAGGCUUUAGUGGCGC